UACGGGGGGGGCAAGCGUUGUUCGGAAUUACUGGGCGUAAAGGGCGCGUAGGCGGUUGGAUAAGUCAGCUGUGAAAACCACGGGCUUAACUCGUGGCCUGCAGUUGAGACUGUCUGGCUUGAGUGUGGGAGAGGAGAGUGGAAUUCCUGGUGUAGCGGUGAAAUGCGUAGAUAUCAGGAGGAACACCGGUGGCGAAGGCGGAUCUCUGGGCCUUACCUGACGCUGAGGCGCGAAAGCUAGGGGAGCGAACAGG
rnacentral:rRNA from 1 species